rnacentral:lncRNA from 1 species
UAAAAGUUCUUCUAUAAUUAUUAUUGUUAUUUUUUUAAAACUUAGCUAUAAAUGUGAAUUAACUAGAAUUCGAACUUGGGUCUCGAGUACCAACCACCAAGCCCUUUGCCACUUGCUCCAGGGACGGUUGGUAGUUCACUGUAGAAAUUUCUAUAAUUACGGCUUACGAAAUUCUUAUGAACUGUGUUAGUCUAGCUCACUGUAGAAAUUUGACAAUAGUGAUUUCUCAUAAUAAUAAAUUUUAUCCGUGAGACGAUUUAUCUUAUUCCAAAAAUCCUUUAUGUUAUAUUGCUAUGGACAUUUUAUCAUACGAUUUAUCUAUCAAUUAUUAUAGCGUCUCAAACUGGGCUAAAAAAGAGAGUAAAAGAGAAAGAUAUUGAUGCAUCCAAACAGUCUUCUUAAGUUUUAAGUGGAUGCUUUUCGAGGACAACAAUUAGCUCGAGUUAAUUAACCCAAGUGAUUCGAGAACACUAGACAAGAAUAGUGUAUAAUAACCAGUGCAUUAAUUGGUCUGUUUGGAUGUUCAAAUAAGUUAUCCGACAGUAGUCGUAUGUGCGGUGUAGAGAUAUUCAUCUAUUAUUAUACUUA